AUUGAACGCUGGCGGCAGGCUUAACACAUGCAAGUCGAGCGGGGACUUCGGUCCUAGCGGCGAACGGGUGAGGAAUGCUUGGGAAUCUGCCCAGUAGCGGGGGAUAACGUUUCGAAAGGAACGCCAAUACCGCAUACGCCCUACGGGGGAAAGGGGGGGAUCUUCGGACCUCUCACUAUUGGAUGAGCCCAAGUCGGAUUAGCUAGUUGGUGGGGUAAAGGCCUACCAAGGCGACGAUCCGUAGCUGGUCUGAGAGGAUGAUCAGCCACACUGGAACUGAGACACGGUCCAGACUCCUACGGGAGGCAGCAGUGGGGAAUAUUGGACAAUGGGCGAAAGCCUGAUCCAGCCAUGCCGCGUGUGUGAAGAAGGCCUUCGGGUUGUAAAGCACUUUAAGCGAGGAGGAAUGGCUCUUGGUUAAUAACCUUGAGCAGUGACGUUACUCGCAGAAUAAGCACCGGCUAACUCUGUGCCAGCAGCCGCCGUAAUAC
rnacentral:rRNA from 1 species